UGAAUAUUUGAUCAAAAAGAUACUCCCUCACACGGAUCAAUUUAGGCAUCAUAUUCGCUCUCGUAACCCUAAUUCACUCAUUUGAUUCAAAAUUUGAAUUUCUCCGUUGUUUCUCUUUCUCCCACCAACAAAGAAGCCCUAAUGGAAAUUUUCAGCAUAAUCGAUGUCGCCUCCCCCUCCAUCGUCAUCUCUAUCAGGGUCCUCCAUAACCCACUCAAACAUAUGUUCCAUCGUCUCCACCGGUACUCCCACAGUCAUCAAAUCCAUCGGUCGCCACUAGAACGGAAUUGGCAGAUAAACACUCACACUUCAUCGUAGCAGAUGAAGAACUUUGAAGAGGAAGGAGUUCUAAGUUUUUUGAGAAAAAGGUUAGGAUUUAUCGGCUUUACUACACUAGAUCUUUAAAUUGUUCACCAUCGCCUUGACCACCAUAAAAAUAUCCACAUACAUGGGCUAGGAUGUUCACACUCACUCACCUAUAAUAUAUUUCACAAAGAAGCAAGGUAAUAUAUUUCUACCGUCAUUUGUUCUUCACCCCAUCACCAUGAAUUUCAUCGUUCUUUCCCUUUUCCUUCAAUCUCUCUCUCUCUCUCUCUCUCUGUAUAUGUGUGUGUUUAUGAUUUUGUUUCUUUUUAACAGAAGAAGAAACGAUUUUGCUGACUGUGAUUUAAAGAAGGUGGAUCUGGUGUAUACUGUGUAUAGGACAUUCAAGAAUCCAACUGGUAAUCCAGUUUGUUUCAUAAAACAAUAAACAGAGUGUAAUGUAUGAGUUUAACAAAAGAGGUUUUUUUCAUAAAACAAUAAACAGAGUGUAAUGUAGAGGUUAAAGUUGUAUCAAAAGAGGAUAUAGAUUAAUUUUUAUUGCUUAGAUAUGUGUGUUGUGCAAUUGGGAGCCCAAAAAUGAAUAAUCAAAUCAAGGGUUUUUUUUUAUUAAAUUCUGAGUUCACAACCUUGCUUCCCUCAUUUAAGUUCUUCAUUCAACACUGAUAUACAAGGUAAUAGCUUUUGUUGUACACUUAUCUCUUAAUGUAUACAUUUGAUCAGAAAUAUCAAAAUCUUGUUUGUUUACUUGUACAUUAUGUUGAUAUAGUUGUACUUGCAUAAAAGAAGAGGAAGUGGGUAUGAAGCCAUUUCUUGAAGAGACAACCUCCAAGUUAUAACAUGUAAAUAGACUAAUAUCAGAAAAUAAAUGGGUGACAUUGUUAUCUCUAAUUAUGUUUGUGUGUGUGCUUUUGUUUAUAUGUCUUGGUGGUAAUUGAUUAUUGCAUUUUCAUUGACUUUUGUCAUUGUUUGAUUUGGUUGCAGGUUUAAUGAAGCUUUGUGUAAGUCUAAUAUCUACAUUUCCUUGAGCUUUUAGGUUUUUGAAAAUUUUUAGCUUAUGUUGUCUGAAUUGGUUCAUGAGUUCAAUAUGUUCAUGGCUAUAGAAGCCAAGUGAGUUUCUAUAUUUAACGUGAAGACUAGCUUUAAGUUGAUAAGCAUAUAGUUUUUAUUAUCAAAUGACAUUCAUGUUUUCUGUAAAAUGGUAACUAUUUAUCCAGAUUUAGCUUGACAAGUAUGCGGGGUUCUUUGGUUCUUUAUUAUGGAAAAUAUGCAAAAAAGGUUUAAAAAAAUUAUAUUUGCCAUCUAUAAAAAAGUAAUGACACCAUAUUCUGCCAUACUAGGUACUUGAGUGAAAGUUGGGGCUUUUUCCAUACCAUUAUUUAUUGCUUACUGUCUAACAUCCAUGUGAAAUAUAAGUUUGUGAUUACCUGAAUUCAGGAAAAGCGGUAUCAAUUAACAGGAAAGAAGACCACCAAAAUCAUCGAGAAAUCUUGGAUAUUCGAGUAUAUAUAAGGUUUUUUUGUCUGUCAUUUCUCAGAUCCGUGUCUCAUUUGUACAUCAGCGUGUUUUUGGCCCGAAGACACCUCAUUUGGAGAUAAAACAAGAGAUGAUGGUGAUGAGAAGCUCAAGAUCUUCAUUUUGCGGUGAAGAUGCUCUUUUUGUAUUAGAUUUGUGUAGAUUUGACCUUUUUUGUUAGCAAUCUUUAUGAGUGUCGACAUGUAUAUUUGUGUUACUAAAUGUAAUAUGUUUUGUUUUGGGUUUUUACAAUGAAAAAAUGAAUGAUUUUAGUUUUUUUUUCCA